rnacentral:rRNA from 1 species
AUUGAACGCUGGCGGCAUGCUUUACACAUGCAAGUCGAACGGCAGCGCGGGGCAACCUGGCGGCGAGUGGCGAACGGGUGAGUAAUAUAUCGGAACGUACCCAAGAGUGGGGGAUAACGUAGCGAAAGUUACGCUAAUACCGCAUACGAUCUACGGAUGAAAGCAGGGGAUCUUCGGACCUUGUGCUCCUGGAGCGGCCGAUAUCUGAUUAGCUAGUUGGUGAGGUAAAGGCUCACCAAGGCGACGAUCAGUAGCUGGUCUGAGAGGACGACCAGCCACACUGGAACUGAGACACGGUCCAGACUCCUACGGGAGGCAGCAGUGGGGAAUUUUGGACAAUGGGCGCAAGCCUGAUCCAGCAAUGCCGCGUGAGUGAAGAAGGCCUUCGGGUUGUAAAGCUCUUUUGUCAGGGAAGAAACGGCGGUGGCUAAUAUCCACUGCUAAUGACGGUACCUGAAGAAUAAGCACCGGCUAACUCUGUGCCAGCCGCCGCCGUAA